UACAGAGGGUGCAAGCGUUAAUCGGAAUUACUGGGCGUAAAGCGUGCGUAGACGGUUACGUAAGUUAGGUGUGAAAGCCCCGGGCUCAACCUGGGAAUUGCAUUUAAGACUGCGUAGCUAGGGUGCGGAAGAGGGAAGCGGAAUUUCCGGUGUAGCGGUGAAAUGCGUAGAUAUCGGAAGGAACAUCAGUGGCGAAGGCAAUCCCCUGGACCUGUACUGACGCUCAUGCACGAAAGCGUGGGGAGCAAACAGG
rnacentral:rRNA from 1 species